GAUGAACGCUGGCGGCGUGCCUAAUACAUGCAAGUCGAGCGAACAGACGAGGAGCUUGCUCCUCUGACGUUAGCGGCGGACGGGUGAGUAACACGUGGAUAACCUCCCUAUAAGACUGGGAUCACUUCGGGAAACCGGCGCUAAUACCGGAUAAUAUAUUGAACCGCAUGGUUCAAUAGUGAAAGACGGUUUUGCUGUCACUUAUAGAUGGAUCCGCGCCGCAUUAGCUAGUUGGUAAGGUAACGGCUUACCAAGGCAACGAUGCGUAGCCGAACUGAGAGGGUGAUCGGCCACACUGGAACUGAGACACGGUCCAGACGCCUACGGGAGGCAGCAGUAGGGAAUCUUCCGCAAUGGGCGAAAGCCUGACGGAGCAACGCCGCGUGAGUGAUGAAGGUCUUCGGAUCGUAAAACUCUGUUAUUAGGGAAGAACAAAUGUGUAAGUAACUAUGCACGUCUUGACGGUACCUAAUCAGAAAGCCACGGCUAACUACGUG
rnacentral:rRNA from 1 species